rnacentral:rRNA from 1 species
AGAGUUUGAUCCUGGCUCAGGAUGAACGCUGGCGGCAUGCCUAAUACAUGCAAGUCGAACGAAGCAGCAAUGCUUAGUGGCGAACGGGUGAGUAACACGUAGGUAAUCUAUCUUAUACACUGGGAUAACUAAGGGAAACUUUAGCUAAUACCGGAUAUGUUAUUAUUGGUAAUCCAUAAAUAAUCAAAGGUGCAACUGCA